rnacentral:rRNA from 1 species
CCUAAGAACGCUGGCGGCGUGCUUAACACAUGCAAGUCGCGUGCGCGGUUCCGUAGCAAUACGGGAUGGGCGCACGGCGCACGGGUGCGUAACACGUGGGCAAUCUGCCCUCCGAUGGGGAAUAACCCCGCGAAAGCGGGGCUAAUACCGCAUAACAUUCCUUGGACUACGGUUUGAGGACUCAAAGCAGCAAUGCGUCGGAGGAGGAGCCCGCGCCCGAUUAGCUAGUUGGUGAGGUAACGGCUCACCAAGGCAAUGAUCGGUAGCUGGUCUGAGAGGAUGGCCAGCCACACUGGAACUGAGACACGGUCCAGACUCCUACGGGAGGCAGCAGUGGGGAAUCUUGCGCAAUGGGCGAAAGCCUGACGCAGCGACGCCGCGUGGGGGAUGAAGCUUCUCGGAGUGUAAACCCCUUUCGACUGGGACGAAUGCCCCGCAAGGGAGUGACGGUACCAGUAGAAGAAGCCCCGGCUAACUACGUGCCAGCAGCUGCGGUAAGACGUAGGGGGCCAGCGUUGUUCGGAAUUACUGGGUGUAAAGGGUUCGUA